rnacentral:rRNA from 1 species
CCUACGGGUGGCAGUAGUGGGGAAUAUUGGGCAAUGGGCGCAAGCCUGACCCAGCAACGCCGCGUGAAGGAAGAAGGCUUUCGGGUUGUAAACUUCUUUUCUGAGGGACGAAGAAAGUGACGGUACCUCCGGAAUAAGCCACGGCUAACUACGUGCCAGCAGCCGCGGUAAUACGUAGGUGGCAAGCGUUAUCCGGAUUUAUUGGGUGUAAAGGGCGUGUAGGCGGGAAAGCAAGUCAGAUGUGAAAACUCAGGGCUCAACCCUGAGCCUGCAUUUGAAACUGUUUUUCUUGAGUGCUGGAGAGGCAAUCGGAAUUCCGUGUGUAGCGGUGAAAUGCGUAGAUAUUAGGAGGAACACCAGUGGCGAAGGCGACUUUCUGGACAGUAACUGACGUUGAGGCACGAAAGUGUGGGGAGCAAACAGGAUUAGAUACCCGGGUAGUC